rnacentral:rRNA from 1 species
AUGAACGCUGGCGGCGUGCCUAAUACAUGCAAGUCGAGCGAACGGACGAGAAGCUUGCUUCUCUGAUGUUAGCGGCGGACGGGUGAGUAACACGUGGAUAACCUACCUAUAAGACUGGGAUAACUUCGGGAAACCGGAGCUAAUACCGGAUGAUAUUUUGAACCGCAUGGUUCAAAAGUGAAAGACGGUCUUGCUGUCACUUAUAGAUGGAUCCGCGCUGCAUUAGCUAGUUGGUAAGGUAACGGCUUACCAAGGCAACGAUGCAUAGCCGACCUGAGAGGGUGAUCGGCCACACUGGAACUGAGACACGGUCCAGACUCCUACGGGAGGCAGCAGUAGGGAAUCUUCCGCAAUGGGCGAAAGCCUGACGGAGCAACGCCGCGUGAGUGAUGAAGGUCUUCGGAUCAUAAAACUCUGUUAUUAGGGAAGAACAUAUGUGUAAGUAACUGUGCACAUCUUGACGGUACCUAAUCAGAAAGCCACGGCUAACUACGUG